GUCCGAAUAGUUUUAGGACAAUCUCGACCUAAAUCAAAAGAUUCUUAACCCUGCUCGCUGAUCCACUUUCCUCCUUCUGGGGAAGGAGGCCAGGAUAUGUUUCUGUACCCAGCUGCUGACAUGGCAGGAAGCAGUUCUCAGGGAAGUCCCGCAGCUGUCCUCUGGUAAUGGUGGUCAUAAAGCUGAAGCCUUCACCGGCCUCUGUGUGGAAAUGCACAUGGUCUUUCCAGCAGCAUACUGCCUGUGACUGUAUCUGUAAACUUCUCAUCUGCUGAGCAGAUGGUUUAGAACAGAACAGUUGUUUUGUAAGCAAGGUGAGGAAGGAGUUACAGUUCAAUGGAUCAUACCUUUUACCUCUCACAGCUGCUUUCUUCAUGCUGGGUUACAUGUCAAUAAGGACUCACAAAUUAAAAUUGAUGAGGAACUGUGACCCUAUUUGUUCUACACUGAGGGACAAAUAAAAAACCUGGAACCCAGAGGACA
rnacentral:lncRNA from 1 species